GUUGGGCUCCCGGCCCUGACGCUGUUCCCCAUUCGCGAUCCCCUCGACAGAGAAGACCGGCUCGGCGGGCGGCCGCCGGCCUGGGCACCUGGCGCGGCCGCGCGGGCUCGGCGCUCCCGCAGGCGGCGGCCCGGGGAGUCGGCAGGCUGGCAGGGGGCGGUGGGCAGAGUCGCAGAGAGAGAGAGAGAGAGAGAGAGAGAGAGAGCAUUUGGAGCAGAACAAAGCAAUUGCAGUGGUCUGAUUUGCAGAUUUGGGUGAGGAUUUGUUUUGGUUUGCAAAAUGAAGAACAAAUCAGUUAAUUUGGAGACAUUGUGGGAUAGAGCAGUAGAGGCAAGAAAGGUAGAAUCAGCCUCCCCAUCAGUGUUGCAACCAGUUACUGUCGAGAGUGACGCUCAGCCUCAGAAUCCAUCUGUUGUUCCAGUUACUACAGAGCCAGAAGCCCAGAAUAAGAUAGCAAUCAGUCAGAGAAGUGCAGAACCUGAGAUAGGUAGCAAUGGACCUGAUAUAUAGCAGCAACCACAGAAGUGGGCGAAGAAGAAGAACAUCAGCAGUACUCUACAGAAGGAGCUGAACCUUCUACUUGGUCCCCUAUCAGAGAUGGUGAUGACUCAUAGUAUGAAUCAAUCAAGUGAUGAAGCUAUCUAUGACAUUGGCCUUCUCUCUCAUUAUCCAGGAAAGAGGAUUCCAAUCAAAAGAUAAUGAUGUUAAUGACCGGAAUUCUGUGAUCAAGGCAUACAUUGCAUUAGGGCCGUGUCAGCAACGGAGUCACAAUUUUCCUGUAAGGAGCGUUGGAGCACGAUGAAUUCAGUCCUUGGCAUACUUUUACUGAGUCAACAUCAGCAAUAUAUGUCCAGAGCAAGCCGAUAAGUGGACCAGCAAUCAUCAUGAAGACCGUUGGAACAAAGUUUCAACAGCCCGUUUCGCUUGAGCUCACUACAAGUCUACAACAUUGCCAUAAACAUAUAGUAUAAACCAAGAAAUGUAUGACAGCAGCUCCUUGUUUAAAAAAAGAAGCGCAAAACAAACAAGAGCAGCGGCAGGUUAUCUUACAGUGGUUUGGUUGCAGCUGCAGCCUGCUGCCAACGGCUAUUAAUAGGCGCCAGAAGCAUUGUGAUUUUGUAGCUAGCAAUCAUCCUCGAUCGAUGCCUGGGAAAAUGCCAGCAAACGGCUGCGUUUUCCUGGCUCGGUUGCUUCUUGUUAUCUUGUUGGUCAUGUUACUAAUGAUUCACAGAUGUACAUCAGCAAUUAUACAUGGUGAAGCACCGGGUGAUCCUCCGGUACAGGGAGGUACUGAUUGCUGUGCUAUUGGGGGCUGUUGUGUAUGAUAUACAGUCUUUUUCUGCCCCCAUAUGCAUCCUGCAGGGCAGUGAGCAUUCUCAGGGGGACAGUGUUGUGUGGACGACCGUGUCUAUGCUCGCUUGAGCAUCUCUCUUGUCUUUUAUUCUACUUUUAAAUUCGUAGUAUAAGUGUAACUGAGGUAUAUGGAUUUGAGAAAUUUUACAGUGCUUUGAAUAAAUGGCAGUCACUCAUUUGGUGAGAUCUAAUAAUGGUUAAAAAAUAGGAAGAACCUAUCAAGAGGAACUUAAGGUAUGGACUGGAACCUAAAUUUAGUGGACCAUUGUAAAUCUAUUUCAAAGGGUAUAACUGUACUUCCAACACAAACAAAUCCAUGACCCAUAAUCCAUGACACCAGCAAGCAGCAGUAGUCAACAUGCUGCUGCAUAAAACAGAGGAUAGAUCAACAUGUUGCGGCUGCAAGAUUAUCAGACACCUGUAAUGCUGUAAAGAUUUUGUUACGGACACAUGUAAGAGAUCUCUGUAAUAUGAAAUAAGUGCUUUGAGCAGGCAGAAAUUAGCUAACAGAAAACAAACAGAAUCCCAAGAGCAAUGAUCGAAUAAGAUGGAACCUUUUUGUUU